GGGCCCGCACAAGCGGUGGAGCAUGUGGUUUAAUUCGAUGCAACGCGAAGAACCUUACCAGGGCUUGACAUACUACGAAUUUUCUUGAAAGAGAAAAGUGCCUUCGGGAAUGUAGAUACAGGUGGUGCAUGGCUGUCGUCAGCUCGUGUCGUGAGAUGUUGGGUUAAGUCCCGCAACGAGCGCAACCCUUAUUUUUAGUUACCAAUUCGUUGGGUUCUCUAGAAAGACUGCCGGUGACAAACCGGAGGAAGGUGAGGAUGACGUCAAGUCAGCAUGCCCCUUAUGUCCUGGGCUACACACGUGCUACAAUGGUUAAGACAAAGAGUCGCGAGCUUGUAAAAGUCAGCUAAUCUCAUAAACUUAGCCUAAGUUCAGAUUGUAGGCUGCAACUCGCCUGCAUGAAGUUGGAAUCGCUAGUAAUCGC
rnacentral:rRNA from 1 species